rnacentral:rRNA from 4 species
AUAAACGACUCUCGGCAACGGAUAUCUCGGCUCACGCAUCGAUGAAGAACGUAGCAAAAUGCGAUACUUGGUGUGAAUUGCAGAAUCCCGUGAACCAUCGAGUUUUUGAACGCAAGUUGCGCCCGAAGCCUUUUGGCCGAGGGCACGUCUGCCUGGGCGUCACAC